AUGGCCUCCAGCUCGCUCCCGUUCCUGGCUCUCCUGCUGCUGGCGGCCCUGCCAGGGCUCCGGGCGGCCGUGACCCUGCUGGAGUCCGGGGGGGACCUCCAGCCCCCCGGGGGGUCCCUGCGCCUCCUCUGCCGCGCCCCCGGGCUGGAUUUCGGCCAAUCCCGGAUUUUCUGGGUGCGGCAGGGCGCCGGGAGGGGCCUGGAGCUGCUGGCGGGGAUCGGCGGCCCGGCGGCGCCGUGGGCGCGCGGAAGGUUCCGGGUGGGCCGGGAGGGGGGCGGCGGCGGGGCGGUGACGCUGAGCGCCGACGACCUGCGGGACGGGGAUUCCGGCCGGGAAUUGAGGUUUUUGCGCGGGUUCCCCGCGGGCCCCGCCCACCGUGGGUCUCUUAUUGACGCCUGGGGCAGCGGCACGACGGUCACGGUGUCCAGAGGCUCCGCCCGGGCCCCGGACCUGUUCCCGCUGUCGCCCUGCGGCUCCGGCGCGGCGUUCUCGGUGGGCUGCGUGGCCGUGGGCUUCGAGCCGCCGCCCGUCGGCUUCGCCUGGCGCGACCGGGAGAACCGGAGCGCGCCGGGAGCCGCCGCCUUCCCGGCGGUGCGGAGUUCCGGAAGGUUCCUGGCCGCCUCCCGGCUGGGGAUGGAGCUGGAGGAGGGGAAGGGCCGGCAGCCCUUCUGGUGCCGGGCCGAGCACGCCCGGGGAAGCCGGAGCGUGCAGGUGUACAACCCAGGUCCCGGCUCCCUCCUCCCUCCCGUGACCGUCCUCACCCUCCACCCCCCGUCCCGCGAGGAAUUCCAAGGUCCCUACCGGAACUCCACCCUCCUCUGCCGCAUCCGCGGCUCCCGGCCCCGCCCCGGCCACGCCCCCAUCCUCUGGCUCCGCAACGGCGCCCCCCUGAGCGACGGCGCCACCCCGGAAGCGCCGGCGGCGGAAGGUUCCGGAAUCUUCGUCAGCGGCAGCCGGCUGGUGGUGACCGAGGCCGAGUGGGAGCGCGGCGACGUCUUCACCUGCCAGGCCGGGGAGGAGAGCAGGAACACCAGCAAGGCCAUGGAGUGCGGAUAUGACCAACCCCUGAGCGCCAGCGACAUCCGGGUGGAGACGGCGGCGCCGCUCUUCGCCGACAUCUUCCGGGACCAGGCGGCGCGGCUGACGUGCCGCGUCUCCAACCUGGCGGCCGGCGGAGAGGGCCUGGAGGUCACGUGGCUCAACGAGGACGGGGAAGCUCUGGCCACCAAGAUGGCGGCGCCGGCGCUGCAGCCCAACGGGCUGCUGGCGGCCGAGGGCGUGGCCACGGUCAGCGUCGAGGCCUGGGAGUCCGGCCAGGUCUUCACGUGCCGCGUGACCCACCCCGAGCUGCUCUUCCCCAGGGAGGUGACCAUGAGGAAGAGCACGGUUCCGGACGCGGCCCCGCCCACCGUGCACCUGCUGGCCCCGCCCCCGGAGCAGCUGCGCCGCCGCACCUGGGCCACCCUCACCUGCCUCAUCCUCGACUUCAACCCCCCGGACCUCCUCGUCCAAUGGCUGAAGGACGGGCAGCCCCUCCCCUCCAGCCACGCCCUCACCUGGAAACCCCGCCCCCAACCCGGCCACGCCCCUUCCGGCCACGCCCACCAGAGCGUCAGCACGCUGACGGUGCCGGCGCGGGAUUGGGAGGGCGGCCAUGUUUACACCUGCCUGGUGGGGCACGAGCGGCUCCCGCUGCGGCUGGCGCAGAAAUCCCUGGAUAAAUCCGCCGGUAACCCCGCCCACCUCAACGUGUCCCUGGUGCUCAGCGACUCCGCCGCCGCCUUUCGCCCCAAAACCCCGAUUUCCCGCUGUUUUCCCCCAGCUCUCCUGGCGGGCGCGGCGGCGGGCGAGGACGAGGAGGAUCUGGGCAACCUCUGGGCCACGGCCUCGACCUUCAUCGUCCUCUUCAUCCUCAGCCUCUUCUACAGCGCCACCGUCACCCUCAUCAAGGUGAAAUGACCCAAACCCGACGGA